rfam:Schistosoma margrebowiei strain Zambia genome assembly, scaffold: SMRZ_contig0001928
GUCCAACUGAUGAGUCCAAAAUGGGACGAAACGCGCAUCCUGCAU